GUAGGUGAGCCUGCGGAGGGAUCAUUACCGAGUUCAUGCCCUUACGGGUAGAUCUCCCACCCUGUGUUAUUAUUACCUUUGUUGCUUUGGCGGGCCGUCAGAUUUCGGUCAGGCUAUCGGCUCCGGCUGGUAAGCGCCCGCCAGAGGACCCCCAAACUCUGAAUAUUAGUGUCGUCUGAGUACUAUAUAACAGUUAAAACUUUCAACAACGGAUCUCUUGGUUCUG
rnacentral:misc_RNA from 1 species